UAAACGAUAAACCACGAAGAAUCUUAUUUGUCUUAAAUAGUUUGUAUACCGUCAUUAUUAGAUAAUUUUGGAAAAAUUAAUUAUURGGAUUAAUAAGUUUUAAAUAUAUUAGAUCAAGGUGCAGCUUAUAGACAAGAGAAAAAUGGGUUACAUUAAAUUAAUUGUAUGCUUAAUUUAAUAUGUUAAGUAGAAAUUGGCUCUAARAUAUGUACAUAUCGCCCGUCGCUCGCGGGAAGA
rnacentral:rRNA from 1 species